CCGCUGAUCGUCCCCGCUGAUCGUCCCCGCUGAUCGUCCCCGCUGUCUCCCGGUCCGGGAGAGCCCCGGCCCUGCGCUCCGGCCCCCCGGCUGCGGGAGCAUCCCGCGAGGAGAAAGUGCCCGGCGGGGAAGUGCUGGGAGGGACAAGAGGGCCCCGCGAUGGCCGCGGCUCGCUCGUGCUGAUGCUACUGCCCUCUGCCCCGGCCGAGGUGGGAUUAUUGGCUCGCCAGCAUACCCGACGCUGAAAAGUUUUGAGAGCGUUUUUGUAAAAGCAGCCCAGAGCUACACAAGCUUCUUGCUGCGGGGUGGCAAGGCAAGGAGCCUGCAGCUUAAUCCCAUCAGCAGGAUGUUCCCCGGGGCUGUGGGUCACCCCAUGUCACCUCGGCAUUGGGGUUCGCCGAGCAGGACAGGCAGGCUAGUGGUGGCCAUACAAACUCGGCAGGGAGCUGCUCUCUUGCCUCUCUCAUGUUUUGCAAUAAGCUCUGCCUUUUCUUUCAAUAAAUAAUUACAAACCCACCAAUAUAUUAAA